AUUGAACGCUGGCGGCAGGCUUAACACAUGCAAGUCGAGCGGAGAUGAGGUGCUUGCACCUUAUCUUAGCGGCGGACGGGUGAGUAAUGCUUAGGAAUCUGCCUAUUAGUGGGGGACAACAUUCCGAAAGGAAUGCUAAUACCGCAUACGUCCUACGGGAGAAAGCAGGGGAUCUUCGGACCUUGCGCUAAUAGAUGAGCCUAAGUCGGAUUAGCUAGUUGGUGGGGUAAAGGCCUACCAAGGCGACGAUCUGUAGCGGGUCUGAGAGGAUGAUCGGCCACACUUGGACUGAGACACGGCCCAGACUCCUACGGGAGGCAGCAGUGGGGAAUAUUGGACAAUGGGGGGAACCCUGAUCCAGCCAUGCCGCGUGUGUGAAGAAGGCCUUAUGGUUGUAAAGCACUUUAAGCGAGGAGGAGGCUACUGAGACUAAUACUCUUGGAUAGUGGACGUUACUCGCAGAAUAAGCACCGGCUAACUCUGUGCCAGCCGCCGCGGUAA
rnacentral:rRNA from 1 species